UCCCUGGUGACCAGGCAUUCAAAUCUAUGAGCCUAGGAGGGCCAUUCUCAUUCAAACCACCAGUUACUUACUGAAGUGUGCCUUUGAAGGGUUUAUCUUAUCACCAGACCAUUGUCUCUCUCACCUUCCAGCAGCCUUGAGAGACUUGAAGUUCUUGUCAUAUAGAUCUUUCACCUGCUUGGUUCGAGUUACACUAAGAUGCACUUUUCUUCAGGAAUAGUUAAGAAAAUAAUGAAGGCACUGACUGGCUUAGAAGAUCUUAGA